GGCCGCCUGGUGUAAUGGCAACGCGUCUGACUACGAAUCAGGAGAUUGCAGGUUCAACCCCUGCGGUUGUCA
rnacentral:tRNA from 1 species